CUGAGAUCAGGAGCCACGCGCAUUUGCAUUCUCUCAGCUCAGCGCUCGCUCCAAUGAAGACAGUCAGCGUUACCCGAUGGAGUGAGCAGAUGCAUGAGGGAAAUGGAAAAAGAAUAAGAACAUCCAAGAAUUUCGACUCUAAGUUCCAUGACGACUCCCUGUCAAAGCUGUGUUCCUCUUGCUUCUGGUUUCCAGUUGACAGACAAGUGUUGCCAAGUGGAAUUACAGAGCAGCUUAAUAUAGGAGAUGUGUGAAGAGAGCAAAUAGUAAGAGUGGGAGAGAAAGAGAAGUUCAAAGGUAUCUGGACCUCUGGACCUCCCACCUUGAUCCAUUAUACCAAUGACAGCAUGCUAAUGGGACUGUCUGAGCAAGAAAUGGCUAGCACACUGGAGACCCUGGAAAGAAACAUGUACUCCAGAGGUCGGGGAGUAAACCCCAUCAAGACUCAGGAUGCGUGCCACACCAGUAAAGUUUUUAGGGGUCCAGUGGUUGGGGCAUUCUGGGACAUUCCAUCCAAGGAAAGGAAAGCACAAAUUAUUGCAUCUUGAAACUAUCAUAAUGAAGAUGCUUUUCUUGGGAAACAGCAAGAGUGCCAUUAAAUGAUAAGCUCGGAUUGUUGCUUAGGCAUUUGGGGCGUCUUGUGCCAGAGGACAAGCAAGCAAGAAGAGUCACCAUCCUUCCUUGCUUCUCCACCACGCCCCUCCCCCACCCCAUGUACACACAAAACAACUCAACCACCCUCAAGGUCCACGGAGGCCUCUUCUCACCUGCUGGAAUGUGUCUCUCUAGGUAUGCACAUGCAUCACCUCCCUCUCCAUCCUCCUUCCGACGCUGCCAACCCUGCCCUCAUCUCUAUCCUGAUCACCUCCUUUGUCUUCAUCAUGUGGCUUAACAUUAUCUGGCCAGAUAUUACAUUAGCUUGUUUUUAGGUAUGUUUACUAUUUAUCUCUCCCUGGCUAGAAAGGAAGCUAGCUGCAUGUGAUCAGAGACUGUCCUGUUUGUAAUCCCAGGACCUAAAACAGUAACUGUUGGCAUUAAACAUUCAGUAAAUAUUUAUUGGAUAAGUGAAUGAGUUUGUUGACUGAAUACACUUCUUCCAUAAAGGUACCAAACUUGCUAAUACUACAUGUGCUUUACCUACGCACAGAGAUCUUUUCUUAUAGUAGAUUUUCUCAGGACGGGUAUGGUGCUGGCCACUGAGGAUGAAACGGGGGCUGGCAGCCAGGAAGUUAUCAAUCAUGUCAUCCAAGUCCAUGCUCAAGUCCAAGCUGCCUACAAAUACCAGAACCUGGGUUAGCAAUUCUGUAGGUUCACUGACCUGCACCCACCCCACUCCACCCCUCCAAAACCAGGACCCCAGACAAAUGAGGAGACCCCUCAA